GAUGAACGCUGGCGGCGUGCCUAAUACAUGCAAGUCGAGCGAACGGACGAGAAGCUUGCUUCUCUGAUGUUAGCGGCGGACGGGUGAGUAACACGUGGAUAACCUACCUAUAAGACUGGGAUAACUUCGGGAAACCGGAGCUAAUCCCGGAUGAUAUUUUGAACCGCAUGGUUCAAAAGUGAAAGACGGUCUUGCUGUCACUUAUAGAUGGAUCCGCGCUGCAUUAGCUAGUUGGUAAGGUAACGGCUUACCAAGGCAACGAUGCGUAGCCGACCUGAGAGGGUGAUCGGCCACACUGGAACUGAGACACGGUCCAGACUCCUACGGGAGGCAGCAGUAGGGAAUCUUCCGCAAUGGGCGAAAGCCUGACGGAGCAACGCCGCGUGAGUGAUGAAGGUCUUCGGAUCGUAAAACUCUGUUAUUAGGGAAGAACAUAUGUGUAAGUAACUGUGCACAUCUUGACGGUACCUAAUCAGAAAGCCACGGCUAACUACGUG
rnacentral:rRNA from 1 species